rnacentral:lncRNA from 1 species
UUAAUUAUGAAAAUCAUAUGUGUCUUGAAAUUUUGUAGGGAUUUGGUUUUUAAAAAUAACAUUCUUAAAAAAUUAUGACAUACCAUCUUUUAAAACAAUAUGCCACUUCCAACAACAUAUGUCAUAUUUCUUGUCGUUUGUUUUAUGUGUUUUGAACCUUGCGCCCAUGCAAGAAAUUUUAAUUCUCCGGGCAUCGAAAAUGUCAAUCCAUUCACAUCAACAAUGAAAGUCGCAGAAGAAAACAUUAAGAAGAAUGUUCCUAAAAGAGAAAAUGGUUAUACAACGGCUAGUAUAAUCAAUGGAAAUUAUGCAAGUGGACCCGAUCCGAGUGGAAGAGGACAUGGUAGACCGCCAACUCCACCACACCAUUGAAAAACAAUCGUUUGAACUGUACAUGGUGGAUAUAAUGUGAAUUAGAUAAUAAUAAUUAAUAAUUAAUAAAAAGUUGUGAAAGUUGGAUUUUGUUCAUAUAUAAUGAAAUCAAAUAAUAAACCAACUGAAAAUAAAGAAAACAAAUAAUACAUUUAACAAUAGAAAUUAUUAUGUAUAUUUUAUAGUUAUACAGAAAAUGCAAACAUCAAAAUUUAAUUUGAACCAAACGAAAAUUAAGAUUAUCAAAAUUGAUCAGAUUUGGAUUAGUUGUUUUUUUCCCUCUCAAACUCAAUCAACCUGAAAUUAAUAUCAACCCAUUUUUAAAUUAAAACAAGGUUUAAAAACUUUUUCACUAGUCAAUAUAAAAUACCUAUAUUUUAAUAUUUUAAUAAAAAUAAUUAUGUUAAACUAGAAAUGAUUGGAAAAGGCAAAUCGAUUGCGAAAAAAAUAUAAAUAAUAUCCGUGGACAAAAUUAGAACACCAUAUGCAAACUUGUUCAUCAUUGUAUUUUUUUCUUGAUAUAUGUUGAAUCACAAAUCUUAGAAAAAUCAUCGCUAAAAUUCUUCAGAGUAAGCCGAUCAGAAAAGUCUAUUGCAAAAACUAAAUCAAAAUCUUUAGGGGGGCCCUAUAUAUAAAAUUGCAAUCAAUUAUUUAACGAUAUUUUUUGUUCUUUUAGUUUCUUUUGUAUAAAUCCUCUAAACAUUAUUUGCAAAGUGAUUUUGACACAUGUCUUCUCUACAAUCAUUUUAAUCAAAUAAAUAUGACGUGGCAUGCUACAAUUAUGACAUGACUUAUGAUUAAAUGUGACAUGAACAAUUACAUUGAAUGCUUAUUUAUAUUUUUGUAAACUCUUUAGAAUAUAUGGUAGUAAAUUAUACACUAUCAUUAAAGUAAAUCUAUUAAAGUAUGAUAUUAAAUUAUAUAACAAUAAAAUUAUAAUUAUAUUUUAUAAAUUCUGAAAUAUUAUUUAUUUCUAAUUUUGAAUAAUUAUACAAUUUAUAACUAAAAAGAAUUCCAAAAUCUUUUACAAUUUUUUUUUUAAAUUAUAAUUUUUUUUUUAUCGUAAUAUUAUUAGUUUCUAUUAUAUAUCAUUUUACUAUUGAUAAUUAUAAAACUUGUAUAUCAUUUUUAUUAAUUUUAUACAAUUUAAUUUAAUAUAUUUUAUCCAAAAGAAAUAGAUAAAAUUCUAUUUCAUAUUAUUAUUUUAAAUAUAUACAUAUCUAUUCUUAGAUAUAAUUUAAAAUAAACAAAAUUAUUUAUUUUAACUUAAUUUUGUGUUCGGUUGAAAUAUUAUUAAGACAUAAUAAAAUUUAAAAAAUAAUAAACUUUAUUUUAAAAAUAAUUUUAAUUUAAAAUUUUUAUUCCUGCACAUUGGUGCUUUUAAACAGUAUAAACUUUAAUAAUUUAAUUUUAUCUUAACUAAUAAAGAAAUACAAUUCAUAUAACAAAAUUAUAGUCUAUUUUACAUAUCUUUAAUAUUUGAAUGGUUUAGGAGAUAAACUUUAAAUAAUAUAACUAGUAGUGUUUCUCUUCUUCCUCUACAAAUUAGCCCCUAAAGGGUUAUUAGACCCUUUUGGAGAUUUUAAAUAGAGGUUUUGGUUUUCACAUGCGAUGAGAUUGCGAUGCCGAAGGCGACUUAGAUCUAGGGUUUCGAUGCGGUUUCGGGGAUGGGAUGUGGGGAGACUAAGGGAUGGAUUGGAGCGGGUUUUUCCUGAUCUUCACCAGGAUAAUGGUUUUGGAAAGCAAAGGAAUGGGAACGGCGAUCUACAGCGAGAAGAUCGAACAAGAUUCAUGGGUUUUAAUGGAAACAGUGGAUUACUCGGGCCUGGGUUUUAGGGCGUUUUACGGAUAGAAUCGAUCUAUGGUUAUCUCAGGUCUCCAAUUGGUGAUCUCCCAGAUUUUCAAGGUAUGAUUUGGUGUCUAUUCUUUAGGAGAUCGUUUUGGAUUGGCUGGGGGUUUCCACAAAGGAAUCACCGAUAUUUGAGAAUUGAUGAUUGGAAAGCCAGGAUUUGGUUUCUUAUUCUCAUCAGAAUCAACGAGAUGUUCGAAGAUUUCUCAGAUGAAUUUCAAGAUCUCUCGGAAGGUGAGAUCGAGGAAAAGGACAAGGAAUGCAUUAAGAUACUGUCUGGUGAAGAUUUCUUAAGUGAGAAUGCUGAGGAAGAUAACCAGAUUGGAGAUAAGGAAGAUAAAGGCCCAGUUACGCUGGAAAUGGACAAAGAGCAGGGGGCUAGGAUGAUGCUGUUUAAGAGCCAGAAUGUAGCAGGUGGAACCAUGAAGAAGAGAAUGGUACAAGGGCUAGUAUCUCCUCGCAAACGUCCUUCGGCUAAAGCGGGUAUCCGACAAGGUGAUGGUUUUAAAAAGGUAGAAGAGACGGUCCCUCAAACCCUUUACCGAGCUCAUCAAAACCCUGAUUUUAUGGAUCGAUCCUUUGAAGAAGAGAAGCUAUGGUGGCAGAUACUGAGAGAGCAGAUGUCCAGAGGCUAUUACCGUUGGUUUCGAUCGGUCUGUUUGGUCAUCAGAAGAUACAUGGAAAAGCUGAAAUACUGGUCUUCAGUGGAGGAAAAUAUUUUUCUCUUGGCCUCAUUAAGCCACAAGUGAAGUCAAACCUUGUUCCUAUAUUGGAAUAAUAAAAAUGUAAGGUGUCCGAAUGGUGAAUGGGAGUUUAAUUGUGGUGUCUCAUUGGUCACAAUUAAUUACCAAAGGAAAGACAGAGAGUGUCGAGGAUAUGGGGUGAAUAAUCAGACUCAGGGGUACGUGAGUCUCACGUCAAAAUUAAUGAUGGUUUAUAAAUGUUUUGGACACUUAUGGUUUCUUCGUAUCCAGCUGUAUUGCUCAACAUAGCUAAUCAGUAUAAAUUUGAGGCGGCUUCUCUGCUGGAAUAAUAGAUGUAUGGGUCGUAAAUGGACGAUAAUUUAUCUUAGGGAGAUCUGGUACAAACAUAAACCAGACUUUUUAUAUUUAUCAGAAACGGAAAAAGAUACAACUUUUGUUGCUUUUUAUGCUUCUUGUAUCUCUCUUUGGAUAUGGUUGAUAUGGACUGUGAAAGACUUGGUAAUGUAUUGGUAUAUAUUUAGGUGGAGGGAGAGAUAUUGGUCUUUGGAUGACUUUGCAAGCAUAUCAAGUCUCCAUAUUAAUGCAGCCAAAUCGUCCUAAUAUGCACCAGGAAGUGGAAUAGCUAACGUAUGUGAGGAAGCUGAGAGAGCUGGAAUUGAAGUGGGACAGCUUCCGAUCAGAUACAUGGGUCUGCCAUUGACUUCAAAGGCUCUUUCUAAGGAGGAUUAUGAGCCUUUGAUAGAUAAAAUCAGAACUCGAAUUCUGUCGUGGACCAACAAGAGCUUAUCUUAUGCAGGGCGCUUGCAGCUUCUCAACUCAGUCAUCUCCAGCAUAGUGAGCUUCUGGAGCUCUGCUUUUAUAUAUUACCUAUGGCCUGUUUGGAUACAAUAGAGAGCCUCUGCAGUGCAUUUAUAUGGGCAGGAGAUCCUCAUCAGACCCAUAAGGCGAAAGUUAAAUGGGAAGACUUGUGUUAUCCAAAAUCAGAGGGAGGAUUGGGCAUUCGGAGACUGCAAGAUACUGUUAGAGUCUUUGCUCUUAGUCUGAUAUGGCAAUUUUUUAAUAUGUCAGACUCACUAUGGGUUUCAUGGGUUCAACAUUAUCUUUUGCAUCAUAGUUCAUUCUGGGAUGUUCGGGAAGAGACAACAGGUUCCUGGAUAUGGAGGAAACUCCUUAAGUUGUGUCCUCUGGCCUAUCAGUUCAUCAGGGUGGAAGUUGGUAAUGGUGAGAAAGCUUUCUUUUGGCAUGAUGAUUGGUUGCGAAUCAGGAAACUUAUUGAGUUAACAGGAGCAACUGGCACAAGGUAUCUAGGAAUAGUUCGUAGUGCUCGGGUGUGUGAUGCUGUGGCUCAAGGCCAAUGGAGAGUGAGGGGACAGAGAAGCCGGCAUUUCCAAGAUUUACAUGCCAAAAUACAAGCAGAACCGGUACCUAAUCAGUGCAUGGGAGAGGAUAGGUUUCUAUGGAGGCACGAAACAGAGGUUUAUAAGGACUCUUACUCAGCUUCAAGAACAUGGGAACAGCUUCGACGCAAGAAAGAAGAAGUGAAUUGGAGUAGUAGUGUGUGGUUCAAACAAGGUGUUCCUCGGUUUGCAUUUAUUGUGUUGCUUGCUAUUCAGAAUAGGCUCUCUACGGGAGACAGAAUGAGGCAGUGGAGAAUUCAGCAAGGUUGUGUCCUUUGUGGAGAGAGAGAUAAGACGCGCGAUCACUUGUUUUUCGCUUGUCCUUACUCUUAUACCGUCUGGGAUAGAGUCGUUGGCAAGCUUAUAGGACGGAGAAUCAAUCCUGACUGGUCUGAUAUGCUCAGAUAUAUUCGAAAUGGAGCAGCCAAUCUUAAGAAUCAGGUGCUCAUCAGUUUGCUCUUUCAAGUGGUGGUUUAUCAUAUCUGGCGUGAACGCAAUCUAAGGAGAAAUCAACAAGGCCAGAAGGGGACUGAGCUGAUGAUUAGUACAAUCAAUAAGACAGUAAAAAAUAGGAUCUCUUCUUUGGGUUAUGAGGCAGAUCAUAGAUUGGAAGGACUUCUUCGGAGAUGGUUCGAGGUUUUUGAUUGAGUUUGGAGCAUGGAGCUUGGACAAUGGAGCUAUUAACACAAAUUUUCUUUUCUUCCUACAUAUAGAUAUAAGAACCAUUAUUCCUUUUUAGGUUUCAUUCUUUGUAAAUCCUUUUAGUUGAUGAUCAAUAAAUCAAAAUUUCAUCAAAAAAAAAAAUAAUUCAUUAAGGAUAAGAAAGAGUUUAACCGCUUUAACUUAUGAUGUGGGAUCUCGAAUGCGAGAAAUCACUUCACAAAUAUAAAAAAAAAAUCAUCGUUAAUAUUCUUCAGAGUAAUCCGAUCACUAUAUUGAUAAUGCCAUAUCUACCAGUUCAGAAAAUUAUAUUUCAAAAACUAAAUCAAAAUCUUUAGGGGGGCCUAUAUAGAAAACUGCAAUCAAAUUUUUUAGGAUAUUCUUUGUUCUCUUAUUUUCUUUUGUAUGAAUUAACUAAUAAAGAAAUACAAUUCAUAAAACAAAAUCUUAGUCUAUUUUACAUAUCUUUAAUAUUUGAAUGGUUUAGGAGAUAAACUUUAAAUAAUAUGUCAAGUAUUUUCUAUAGUAAAUAAUUGAUAAGACUUAUAAUAAUAUGUCGAGUAUUUUCUAUAGGAAAUAAUUUACAUCUGGUUCUAAGGAUUGAAAGUUUUCAGUUAUUGGUAGAUUUUAGGACCUUCCAAAUCUUAUAGGGGUACGUAGUUUAUGUUCUUGAUCCUGUUUUCUCAAGAGUUUUUAAGUGCUAUUUUCUUCGGCUUAGAUUUUAACCAAAGUAAACAACCUCUGUCUUUUGAUUUUGGCUUGCACUGCAUUGAAAAUGGGUCUAAACCGGCUAGAAAUGAAAGUUGCAUUGAGCUUGUGAAUAAUAACAUUGUGGGUUUCGAAAGAUGUUAAAAUGUCUAAACCAUUUGCGCAAAUUACACUUUAGAAGAUAAAAUAACAAUUAACAAAAUAUAUCACUAUUCUUAUUAAAUAUAGACUUUGAAAAUGAGAUUUUGGUUGAUAUCCAAAGAACUUUCAAGAGGAAGUAUCAUAAAAUAUUAAAAAUAGAAAUCAAACGCAAACACUUUUUCAUAAAUUAAUGACCAUACAUUUUUUUUUUGUUCUGAAAUGGAAUGUUCUAAAUAUUAACAUUAAAAUUUACUUAAAAAUUUAAUAAAUUUAUUUGCUUGGAUAAUCAAUUUGUUUCUUUUGAGAUAAUGUGAUCUUCGAUAUAUUGAAUAAUUAAUUAUUCGCUUACAUUAUUUACAAAUUGAUUACUUAUGUCACAUGUUUACAAUCAUAUCAUGUCACAUGUUUACAAUCGUAUCAUAUCAUAGGUUUAAAAUCGUAUCACAAAACAAAUUUAACAAGCUUUAAAAAAAUGACAUAUUUUUAACAAAACAUGAUAAGUCAUAUUGUUUUAAUAAUUUUCAUUUUCUAGUAAAAUAAUUCUUACAAAAUCUCACUAUAGACACAUGAACUCCUUAGUUAAUUGUUUUUAAUUAGUUAAAUUAAUAAAGGAAAUCACAGUCCUCAAAAGAUUAACUAAAGUAAAAUUAAUUAAAUUAAUUAACUAAUAUUUUAAGAAUAUUAGUUUUGCUUAUUAGUUUUAGUUAAUUAAAUAACUGAAAACAUCUUACAAAAUAACUACUUAAAAUACUUAAAGCUUGCUAACUAAAAAUAAGUAUAUUAUUUAAUAUUACUAAAUUUUGUUUUAAUUAGUUAAGGAAAUAAUUGAAAUCAUAUUCCUAACAGUAAAAAAAACUAAUUAACACUUUAUUAUUUAAUUAAUUAAUAUUUCUAAUAUUUGUUUUACUAUUUAUCUUAAAUUAAUUAUGAAAAUCAUAUGUGUCUUGAAAUUUUGUAGGGAUUUGGUUUUUAAAAAUAACAUUCUUAAAAAAUUAUGACAUACCAUCUUUUUAAAAAAUAUGCCAAUUUUUAUAAAUCAUAUCAAGUUAUUUUGUGAUAAUGUUGUAAAGAUGACAUAUGAGCAAUCACUUUAAAAAUAAUAUUUAAGUAGAUAUUAAAUUUCAUUAAAGUCACCUUAUAUUAGAGGAAACAAAUUUGUUAUCUAAGAAAAACAAUGUCUUUACUAAAUAUAAACACAAAUAUACACAUAUAUAUACAUAAUUUUGUAGCCAUUGUUUUUCCUUUAUCUAGUAAAAUAAUUCUUUCCUGAUCAGUUGUAACAAAGCAAUUUCAACCUUUUUUUACUUCACAAUAUCUUUAAAAAUGUCUCAUUUUAUUCCAACAACAUAUGUCAUAUUUCUUGUUGUUUGUUUUAUGUUUUUUGAACCUUGCGCCCAUGCAAGAAAUUUUAAUUCUCCGGGCAUCGAAAAUGUCAAUCCAUUCACAUCAACAAUGAAAGUCGCAGAAGAAAACAUUAAGAAGAAUGUUCCUAAAAGAGAAAAUGGUUAUACAACGGCUAGUAUAAUCCAUGGAAAUUAUGCAAGUGGACCCGAUCCGAGUGGAAGAGGACAUGGUAGACCGCCAACUCCACCACACCAUUGAAAAACAAUCGUUUGAACUGUACAUGGUGGAUAUAAUGUGAAUUAGAUAAUAAUAAUUAAUAAUUAAUAAAAAGUUGUGAAAGUUGGAUUUUGUUCAUAUAUAAUGAAAUCAAAUAAUAAACCAACUGAAAAUAAAGAAAACAAAUAAUACAUUUAACAAUAGAAAUUAUUGUGUAUAUUUUAUAGUUAUACAGAAAAU